AGGGGCAGAAGCAGAGGGGCAGGGGGGGGGGCAGAUCUGUCGUCUGAGUUGUCUGGUGAUCCUGUGCUGUUCUCUCUGCAGACAGUCCUGUCUUGUGUAUAUAUAACAGCCAUGUGCCAAAGUGAGGUCAUAUUACAUGUGAGGUCAUAUUACAUGUGUAACAGUGAGGUCAUAUUACAUGUGUAACAGCCUGAGGUCAUAUUACAUGUGUCACAGUCUGAGGUCAUAGGUCAUAUUACAUGUGUCACAGCCUGAGGUCAUAGGUCAUAUUACAUGUGUCACAGUGAGGUCAUAUUACAUGUCCAACAGCCUGAGGUCAUAUUACAUGUGUCACAGUCUGAGGUCAUAUUACAUGUGUGUGUCACAGCCUGAGGGCUUUAUUACUGUAAGCCAACACAGCACAAGGACAAGCAUGUGCACAAUACCAAAGGAACUAUUUUAUAUUCAAUGUUCUGUUCCUAAAUUAUUUGUCAAUUUUGUGUUUUUGUAUGUUUCAAGCGGUUUUUACAUUUUAAUAAAGAUAAAUGU
ensembl:lncRNA